AUUGAACGCUGGCGGCAGGCCUAACACAUGCAAGUCGAGCGGAGCGGCGGACGGGUGAGUAAUUCCUAGGCAUCUGCCUGGUCGUGGGGGAUAACGUCCGGAAACGGGCGCUAAUCCCGCUUCCUAUCAGAUGAGCCUAGGUCGGAUUAGCUAGUUGGUGGGGUAAAGGCCUCCCAAGGCGACGAUCCGUAACUGGUCUGCGCGGAUGAUCAGUCACACUGGAACUGAGAGACGGUCCAGAUGCCUACGUGAGGCAGGAGUGGGGAAUAUUGGACAAUGGGCGAAAGCCUGAUCCAGCCAUGCCGCGUGUGUGAAGAAGGUAUUCGGAUUGUAAAGCACUUUAAGUUGGGAGGCGUUACCAGCAGAAUAAGCACCGGAUAACUUCGUGCCAGCAGCCGCGGUAAUAC
rnacentral:rRNA from 1 species